rnacentral:rRNA from 1 species
UACGGGGGGAGCAAGCGUUGUUCGGAUUACUGGCGUAAAGGGCGCGUAGGCGGCCAGCACAAGUCAGUUGUGAAAUCUCCGGGCUUAACUCGGAAAGGUCAACUGAUACUGUGCGGCUAGAGUGCAGAAGGGGCAACUGGAAUUCUCGGUGUAGCGGUGAAAUGCGUAGAUAUCGAGAGGAACACCUGCGGCGAAGGCGGGUUGCUGGGCUGACACUGACGCUGAUGCGCGAAAGCCAGGGGAGCGAACGGG